rnacentral:ribozyme from 1 species
AUAAAAAGUAGACCAAGAACGGGGUAGGAUCCCUGUAAAGGGACACAUAGGCUCUUCUACCCAACUCCUAUUCCUGUAUCAAAGCUUGGGUAAACAGGCCAAUCCCAACCCCUUGGGCGGAUGGUGGAGCACGGCUGAACAGGAGGGG